UUGAAGCUGGAAGAAACACGGGGAGAGGUUUUUGGGUCAAGGAUGCAGGCUGAAAGGGGUGCUCUUGAUGCUGUGAACAAAAGAAACCAUUUCCUGUUAUUUGAUUCCUUCUGUGUACAGAAACCUAGACCAUGCAAGGUGGAGAAAGGUGCCUAAGAGUAAGGAUCAGGCACAACUACAAUCCUAGUGCUCUUUGGAGCUCAGGGAUGGCUCCUUCCCUACUUCCAGGCAGGGAGGGCAGGCAGGAGGCUGGGUUAUAGCUCUAUCCCCUCAUGCACCAGCCAGCAGAGCUGACCAACUGUAGGGAGUGGAGAAAAUGUACUUCCUGAACAGGUGCAGCAGUAGGCACCUUGCCUCAGCCUCCUGGAGUCCAGGGUGCACAUUCCAGUGUAUGGAGAAAGCCUCCUGAUACUUCCCCAAGGAUUGUGCAGCUCUCCACUGCCCCCAGUGAAGGGCUGUCACUUGCAGGCAUGUCUGAGGAUACAGAACUCCUGCUCCCAUUGAAGUGUAACCUAUUGACUUUGAUAGGAACUCAAGAAUGAAGUGAGUCUGGAAUGAAUGGAUCAGAAAAAUGUUUCAUUUUUAAACCACUGAGAAAUGUAAAGCUGAAUUGUCUCUAAUGCCAAGAGAAACAAGAAUGCAAAGCUGCAAUCAUGUGUGUUUAAAACAGAAAUACCUUGUGACUGGGCUAACUAAGAUUUAGAUAAUCUAGGAAACAGGCUGCGAAUAUUAAAAGGCCAGCACAGAGGAUUUAAUAAAAGGCCAAACUUAAUGAUUUCUCCAAUUCCUAAAGGCCCCGAUAACUAACCAGCUUUCCUGGCCACUUCACUGCCGCCAGAUUGCCUUACUGCUGCUAGCCCUUGCAGUGCUAAACAUCCUGUUUUGCAGCAGUGUUUUUACUAAUACCAUGUAUUUGACACAGUUGGAAUCAGACACAGCCUAUACCUUUGGGAUCUGAUUGGGAAACCCAUUCAAAUUUUUCCUGCUGACAGAUUUACUUUGUUUCAAAUUGGCUUUGGGUUAAGAAUUAUAUUUGGGAAAAUCUCUAGGGACCAGAUUAUGGAGUUUUAACCAUAAUACUGGACUCCUAGAGAAAAGCAGUACUUGAGCUACUUUAUACAAACACAGGACAAAUAUAUUGUCAGGAUGUUUUUUAAUUCUGCUUGGUGUGGAAGAAUUUUCAAAACCUGGCCAUAAAAUGGAACCUGAUUCAAUCUUCAUAUUCUAUCUAAUCCAUCUACCAACCGGAUCUAAUGUGUGCAUUUCUGGUGAACCCAUGACUAUAGUAACUGGUCUUAUGUAAAGAUGGAGAAGGAUUGGAACAGAAAUAGCUCCUAAAAGAUCAGAAUCAGGAUGUUCUGUGGCAAAAUCUCACUCAGUAGAUGGGAAGGAGAAAAGACAGAGACCAGCAGAUAGGGGGGCUGGAUAUCACACUGCCAAACAUUUGCACGGAUUUGAAGACCACGUUGUCUGUAAAAGCUGAUGGAGCCCAAGGAGGAACAAAACAGGGACAAUUGAAGCCUAUUCUUCUCAAGCAGCACAACACUUCUGUGGCCAGAGCUGAAGGAAAUGCAUUGUUUUGAUUGGAAUAUUUUUUCAUUAACAGGAUGUUCAAAAUAAACAAAAUGACUUGA